rnacentral:lncRNA from 1 species
UAUCAGAUGUAUUUGUUUAUCUGGUAUAAUCAUGCUUUCUCUGUAACACUGACAUCCCUGUUGCAGGCUAUAGAGCUCCAGCUGCUGUACCCAAUGGAAAUGGUCAAAAAUCAAAAGGUAAAUCAUUUUUUCCCCUUGAGUAUCACUUUAGUGUUUUAGUAAUUAUAUUGGUAUUCAGAGGUUCAGUAAGUGGCACAAGUACCAUUUGGUUUAUUUGAAUUAACAUUUGCCUUAUCUCUAGGUUAUGGUGCUCCUGCAGCUGUGCCUAAUGGAAAUGGUGCUAAGGCCAAUGGUUAUGGUGCCGGUGUGCCUAAUGGCAAUGGACAAGGAGCUAAACACAAUGGUUACGGUGCUGCUCCAGCUGCUGUGCCCAACGGACAAGGAGCUAAGCACACUGGUACGCCUAAAUUAA